GAAUUUUUGAUUAACGCCUGCCGUAAGGUGGGUCAUUUGGAAG
rnacentral:ncRNA from 4 species